rnacentral:lncRNA from 1 species
UUUUUUUUUUUUUUUUUUUUUGCCAGUUCUUUCUAUGGCUGGGUUUUAUGCUGUUAAUCCUAACACCUGUCUCCACCGGAGACAGUAAGAAGGAAGGGUGUGUGUGUGUGUGUGUGUGUGUGUGUGUGUGUGUAUGCAUGCGCAUGCGCAUGCGCAUUCCUGCCCAAGGGAGGGCUAGAAAAAUAAUACAGUCCCAUUUGCCUCCAAUGUCCUAGGCUGGGAGCUUUCCCUUUGACACACAGCCUGGGACGUUAUAGCACUUCAGCUCUGGAUGCCUUGCACUUCUGCCCUUGUUUGUUGCUUUAAGGAGCCAGAGGCCUCUUCCCUGGCUAUCAUCUUCUGCCUCUUGCCUUUCUGGUGGAGCUGUCAGUUAAAAACUAAUCCCUAGCACUGUCUUUAGCGUGUACAGCUAACUUAGUUGGAAUAUUUUGCUUUUUUUUUUUUUAACAUCUCUUGUAUGUACUACUGAAUCCUGUUGCUCUGAACUAACCUGUGACUUCACCAGCUGAGCCAGCACACCUGUCUGUGUAGACAGGGAAAGUGGGGGAAUUUUUUUUUUUUGAAGGUGCUUCUAGUUCCCUUGGACAGGACACGUCAGACUAGACAAAAACUUGAGGUGCUUUCUGUGCCGUCCAGAUCUGGAGUCUCUCCCUCUGCUAUGUAUGGUGUAUAUUGCAUGGAUUAUCAGUAUCCUCUUGUCCAGGUAAGCUGGGUUAUGACUCGUUUUACAAACAAUAUUUGAUUGACGUGAACAUUUUAUGAUUUUAUGAGUACAGGUUUCCUCUCAUGUGACAUUGUACAUUUGGGCCGAACUUCUCGAGAAUUUUUUUUUCUAAUUUGCUGUAGCAAAAGAUUUUAUUUUAAUAGUGUUGAAUAACUAGACAGAAGUGGUUAGCUUUUCAGUAUUAGAAAUUCUGACGCUUCAGAGAAUGUGGGUGCACGAUAGGCUGGGCAAUAUAAAUGUAUUUACCAUGCCUCCAUGAUAGAAUAAACUUGAGGAUCUCUGGAGGCAACUGAGAGGUUCAGGUGGCAGUGUCCAAAUGUAACUGUAUUUUUCAGAAAGGUAAUACAUAAAUCAGGCCAUGCCUAGACUAUUUUAAUCUGGUUUUAGCCUACCAUUUCCAAUUAUUCUGUGGUAGAAUUAGUGACAUUUUCAUUGUUAAGUUGUUAAAAUACAGAACCAGAAAAGGUUAAGCCAUUAUAAAGCAUAUUACAUUGUAUAAGUGCCUUUCAAUUGGCAACAGUAUGGGGAAUAAAUGGAGAAGCGUCCUGGAUUCUGGCUCCAGCUAGGGUAGUUAUUCUACACAGCUAUGCUCACAUAACUUCAUUUUUAUUGAUUUUUUGAAUUCUGAAUUACAGAUGUUCCAUGAUCCUUAAUUAUUGUCCUUUCUGACGCCAUUCUAGUACCUAACACCUAAGUUGCGGGUUGAGCAGAAAUGCACAGGGUUACCAGAGCUGGCCAGGAUCUUAACCCUUUGCGGGUAAACUCCCUUUUGUUCAGGCCUUGAGGCCCCAGUCCUGGAACCCUGUAGAGAUUGUCUCCUUAGCUGUGUCCUGACAUGUUGGUCUCUGUGUUUUAUGGACAGUACAUAACCUUCCAUGGGUUUUGAUUUCUCAGCCAAAGUGCAGUGCACACCACACUUGCCAUGCUGAGGUUUGCAGCAUUUAUGGACUUUGUUUAUCUGGGGACUGUUUCUCUACUGACAUCAGGGGUCUUUCUUACAGCCGAAGGCUGGACGUGUCAGGAAACUAGACUAGAAGCCAAUCUUCUUACAAGUAAAUACUGGUGUGUCUUGAUAAGUCCCAGCUGUGACCAGCUAGCAGUAACCACAAGCACUAAAUCACUCUGUGGAAAACUUCUCUUCAGACUAUGACACAAUUGAAUAAAAUCGCUGGCAGUGAAACUUUGAUUCAUUGGUGAUAGUAUGAAUUGAUGUGCUCUCGGUCUUUUUAUUCACUCGGAUUUAUUAUUGGUGAGUUUAGUGUUUAGGAUUUUAAACCAUGCUUUCCUGCCUUGCUGUGUUUAGUGUUUUAUUCCAUCUAAAAUUAGGCAGCUCUGGGACCCAGGGGCUGAGAUGUUACAGUUAAGGGUGCUUUCUCCAUUCUGCCACACCAGGAGCAAAUUAAUGGACUGAAAGAACAGUUUUACACAGAAAGGUUAGAAACUAUUUUAUGAACUUAUUUACUACAUUUUGAUGGAACAGUUUUCAUUGUGUUUGUAAAUGAGCAAUAGUUGUUUUCUAUGCUCUUACACUAUGAAUGCUUUUUAAGAAGUUUCUAUUGUGUUGUAACACUUGUUUUACUCAGAACUCAUUGCGUAAUACCUAGAGUUGUGUACCAAGGCAUUGUACAAUGAACGCGCUUAGGGACAAGACUGAAUAGUGUUUUUUUAAUGAGAAGAUUUGUAUCUAUUUUUUAAUUGAGUAUUUCUAGGAUUGCUAAUGUUGAGAUAAUGAGACAAAGUGAGUUCUUUUUAACCGAAGGUAAUAAAGUGCCUGACCUGUCAUUGCUCUUAAUGUUAAUAAAAUAAUGCCUGAGGAGAACGUGCAAUUGAAAUUUAUUAUUUUAUUACUUAUAAUUCAUGCAGAAUCCAAUUUGGACCAGAUCAGAUUAGGGACACAGGUAGGUUAAAAAGAUGGAGGAUCGCUAGAGGAAGGGUUAAGAGAUGCUUUAGGUUUUAUUUCUCACAAAAAAAAAUAAUAAGAGAAAAUUUACCUAAAAUAAUCCUUUGUCCUUCAUUUAUUUAAUUAUUUUAUUCUUUUAUACAGGAUUGCACUAUGAAACUUGCUGGCCUGGAGCCCAGGUUCCAUGUGAAUCGCCCUCCCUAACACUAGGGUUGACCAGGCCAGGCCCUGAAAGUCUUGUGGGUGGUCUAAUAUUAAACACCUGUCACCUCUGACUGACUGGUUAAAAUGUAGCUAUUGUUGCAAAUAAUGGGUGUUGUUUAUUGCCACAAUUGGUACUUAGUGAAGAACUAUUCUAGACUACUGCCCUGUCACCAACUACUAGUGAGGCAGUUACAGGAAGGGGAAGCAGGGUCUUCAGUCGUUGGAGAUAGCUAAAUGUAUCGAGGGUUUAGGACAGCCGAGGGCAGCCCAAGGAUGCUUGGCCUAUGGGGGAGUUCGACUUACUUAUGCAAAUGAAACUAAAGAUACUGAGAUACACUUGGGUUUGCAAAGUACCGGAGCAUGAAUUAGUGCCUCUGCUUUGUAGUUCUCCAAGAAAUGAUGAUUCUGACCUACAGUGAUACACACACACACACACACACACUCAGGCUUUAAUUUCUCAAUCUGAAUUAGUUUACUGAAGUUUUUAAAGCACCUACCAUGUGCCAAGUACUUUGCCAGACGGGAGAAACAGUGACAACCAAGCUAGCAUAGUCUCUAAUAAUUUGGUAAUAGAUCCAGGGCAUAUUUUAGUAUUAGAAAAAGCAUACAUUUUGAUUUUCAAUUUAAUCGUGUAUUUUCUUGAUAAUUUAGUGAUUGACACAUUUGUUUACAUUGCAUCCCUUUUAGUAUUGAUCUGAGAAAUUUCUCAGAAUACCAAGAUAGUAGACAUCAUAUCAGUUAUAUAAAUGACUCAGUUUGUUUUAGGUUGAAAUAUUACAUGGUAUGAAUAAGUUACCUAAUCCAAAAUUAUAGCUAAUGAAGUAAUAUGUUUUAAUUUGGCCUUACCAUGAUGUUAGUACGUGUUUUCAUCUUUCUAAAGGUACAAGAAAUAAGUGUGAGGAUUUUGUAUGUAUAUAAAUGUACAAGGUUUAAAACCGUUUUCAGAUCCUACUCUCACCCUUUAUUCUGAAAUGGGCUGUCUGAAUUGUACCCUGCAGUACGGGGGAGGGGAGGGGAAGCUUAUGGAAAGGUAGCCAGUAUUAGGAGUAAAUUGACACUGAGAGUUAUUGCAGGGGUGUGCUGUGAAGGCUUUUGUAUGGCCGAGGUUUCAUUGUUAGAGGAAGUACUCGCUCUUUAAUGCUGCUCUUCAAAAACAGCCUGGGAAAGUAUGAGAGAGCCCUGCUUCUAGUCAGGGACUCUGGAUCCACCUUUAUAGCAUAAAUGGUAUAUGGGUUGAAGGUAGGGAAGUUGAGUCACAACCAUAAAAUUAUAAAAAGCAAAAGUGUGUGAGGUGGGUUUUUAGUUAGCAGGUAUUCUAUCUACAAUCUCAGGUACUCUAACAAAGGUUAAAAAAUCUUUAUCUCACCUUAUCUUUUUGCCUAACUCUUCAGUUCAGUGUUCUGAAAGUUAUUGAAAUAAACUUAUAAAUUUGAAAAUAUUGCCAGGUAUAUUCUUAGAAGAAUGCUUUCGUAGUACUUCAGUAACUACCAAGGUACUUUACAUUUUAUUUGCGAAGUAUGCCCCCCCCCC